rnacentral:ncRNA from 2 species
CUCUUAUCCAGAGUAGGCGGAGGGAUUUGGCCCGAUGAUGCCCAGCAACCGACUGUAAUUCCGUUGUGAGACGGGGCGCGUGAUAAAAUGCGCCGGUAUUUAUACCAGAGGGCACGGUGCUAAUUCCAGCAGAAAGAUUAUUCUUUCUGAGAGAUAAGAG